rnacentral:rRNA from 1 species
GACGAACGCUGGCGGCGUGCUUAACACAUGCAAGUCGAACGGUAAGGCCCUUCGGGGUACACGAGCGGCGAACGGGUGAGUAACACGUGGGUGAUCUGCCCUGCACUUCGGGAUAAGCCUGGGAAACUGGGUCUAAUACCGGAUAGGACCACUGCCUGCAUGGGUGGUGGUGGAAAGCUUUUGCGGUGUGGGUGGGCCCGCGGCCUAUCAGCUUGUUGGUGGGGUGAUGGCCUACCAAGGCGACGACGGGUAGCCGGCCUGAGAGGGUGACCGGCCACACUGGGACUGAGAUACGGCCCAGACUCCUACGGGAGGCAGCAGUGGGGAAUAUUGCACAAUGGGCGCAAGCCUGAUGCAGCGACGCCGCGUGAGGGAUGACGGCCUUCGGGUUGUAAACCUCUUUCAGCACCGACGAAGCGCAAGUGACGGUAGGUGCAGAAGAAGGACCGGCCAACUACGUGCCAGCAGCCGCGGUAA